AUACGGAGGAUGCGAGCGUUAUCCGGAUUUAUUGGGUUUAAAGGGUGCGUAGGCGGAGCAUCAAGUCAGCGGUGAAAGUUCGUGGCUCAAACCAUGAAAUUGCCGUUGAAACUGUUGUUCUUGAGUGUAGAUGAGGUAGGCGGAAUUCGUAGUGUAGCGGUGAAAUGCUUAGAUAUUACGAAGAACUCCAAUUGCGUAGGCAGCUUACUAGGCUACAACUGACGCUGAGGCACGAAGGUGUGGGUAUC
rnacentral:rRNA from 1 species